rnacentral:lncRNA from 1 species
CAAAUACUAUGUUCAGGACUAUGUAGGCAGUAUGGUUCAGUCCUAGUUCCAUAUCCAAGCAGUGUGGUUUCAGAGGCUUCAUUGAAUGGACCUAGUAAACCUGGAUUCACUGAGGGCAAAUGGGCAGAAUGAUCUAUUUAUUACGCUUAUGUGAAUUUUUUUACUGGGUAGCAGGCAGAUAAUAUGAAAAAUCACACCCUUGUUUAUAAGCAGGAAGAUCCUCUUAGGUGGUCUCAUUGCACGGGGCAGGAGAGAGACAAGGCUAAACUUGACAUUAAGACAGAUGGAUCCAAGAGACAGAAAAGCCCAGUUAUAGCUUCUAAAAAUUCC